rnacentral:rRNA from 1 species
CACGUAGGCGGACCAUCAAGUUGGGGGUGAAAUCCCGGGGCUCAACCCCGGAACUGCCUCCAAAACUGCUGGUCUGGAGGUCGAGAGAGGUGAGUGGAAUUCCGAGUGUAGAGGUGAAAUUCGUAGAUAUUCGGAGGAACACCAGUGGCGAAGGCGGCUCACUGGCUCGAUACUGACGCUGAGGUGCGAAAGCGUGGGAGCAAACA